GGGUGUAGCUCAGUGUUAGAGCACUUGCCUCAUAGGCAUGAAGCCCGGGGUUCCACCCAGCACCACCA
rfam:Ictidomys tridecemlineatus contig048703, whole genome shotgun sequence.